rnacentral:rRNA from 1 species
ACUGGGCGUAAGGGUGCGUAGGCGGUUNCGCAAGACAGANGUGAAAUCNNCGGGCUUAACCUGGGAAUUGCCUUUGUGACUGNGNGGCUAGAGUNUGUCAGAGGGGGGUAGAAUUCCACGUGUAGCAGUGAAAUGCGUAGANAUNUGGAGGAAUACCGAUGGCGAAGGCAGCCCCCUGGGAUGAUACUGACGCUGAUGCACGAAAGCGUGGGGAGCAAACAGGAUUAGAUACCCUGGUAGUCCACGCCCUAAACGAUGUCAACUAGCUGUUGGGGGCUUCGGCCUUUGGUAGCGCAGCUAACGCGUGAAGUUGACCGCCUGGGGAGUACGGUCGCAAGAUUAAAACUCAAAGGAAUUGACGGGGACCCGCACAAGCGGUGGAUGAUGUGGAUUAAUUCGAUGCAACGCGAAAAACCUUACCUACCCUUGACAUGUCUGGGAAUCCUGAAGAGAUUUGGGAGUGCUCGCAAGAGAACCGGGAACAC